GGAGCCGAAGAGGGAAGAAAGUUCACUCCUCCACUCCCCGCCCACCGGGACCGAGCCGGCCAAUCGCGGCGCGCGGAGGAGCAGCGCCCACACUGCCAUUGGUCACCCUCCGCGCCGCUCUGCCCCGCCGCGCAUUGAGACAACUAAGGAGGCGGUGAAGCACACUUUUGACGGACAGGCCGAACCGACCGCGAGGAAGCGGAGGCGCAAGGUUCUUCGUCGCGCGGGCAGAGGCGAUGCGGCCUGGCCGGCACUCGCCACUCUGGAAGGCUCAUGGCACUUUUUGACUGACAGGACUCGAUGUCGGUGGGAUUCUGGGAUUUGGAGUUCUUUCGUGGAGCCAGUGAGGGCAUAACUCCUCACCAGGACUUCCAAAAAGACAGGGCCCUUCCACACAGCCGUAUAACGCAGAAUAUCCAGGCAAAAAACAAUAAUAGUAAAGGAGGAAUGCAGAGAAACUUGCCCCACUAGCUACCCGCAGCAUAUUGAAAAUCAUAGAUCUACAAGUUUGGCCACCAAAAUGGAAACCACAUGAAAACUGGAGAUUGGUGAAAGAAUGAAAAACAUCAUCCCCAGAUGCAGUUUGGAAGAUGCGCUCAGGUUGUCACUAGAAGGUUCAAAGUAUUUCUGUUUGAUUAUGCUUUUGCUUUCCUCACCUAGUUGUUUCAUUUCUCUUGGGCAUUCUCUUGGUUUUGAACUAAAAGUUUCCUGAGACAUGU